rnacentral:lncRNA from 1 species
GAAAAGGAGUUGCUCAGCAUCGAUACCCUACAUAAACCACGACCAAAUAAAUUUCCUAAACACAAUUCAUCACUAUCAUUUAUUAUCACAAUCAAUAUUAUCAUAAGAAUCACAAUCAAAUGGUACUCCAUGCUUUAGUUACUUGCAAAUCACACUUCAAAAACCAUCACUUAUUUGCAAUUAUUCCUCGAAUCCUUUUUCCUGCUCUCUAACUAAAUCACACUUUCUCUCUCUCUCUCUCUCUCUCUCUCUCUCUCUCUCUCUCUCUCUCUCUUUUUCUCUCUCUCUCCCUUUGUGUGU